rnacentral:rRNA from 1 species
AACGAACGCUGGCGGCAUGCCUAACACAUGCAAGUCGAACGAGACCUUCGGGUCUAGUGGCGCACGGGUGCGUAACGCGUGGGAACCUGCCCUUAGGUUCGGAAUAACUCCCCGAAAGGGGUGCUAAUACCGGAUAAUGUCUUCGGACCAAAGAUUUAUCGCCUUUGGAUGGGCCCGCGUUGGAUUAGCUAGUUGGUAGGGUAAAAGCCUACCAAGGCGACGAUCCAUAGCUGGUCUGGGAGGAUGAUCAGCCACACUGGGACUGAGACACGGCCCAGACUCCGACGGGAGGGAGCAGUGGGGAAUAUUGGACAAUGGGCGAAAGCCUGAUCCAGCAAUGCCGCGUGAGUGAUGAAGGCCUUAGGGUUGUAAAGCUCUUUUACCCGGGAUGAUAAUGACAGUACCGGGAGAAUAAGCGCCGGCUAACUCCGUG